UUUUUAGCAGGAUCAACCUCGAUUCCUCUCUUACAAUGAACCCCAGCAGCUUGCCGGCCCGCACUCUGAUAGUGCACUUAUUCAAUUCAACCUCAGUUUGAAUCAUUUCAACUGGUCAAACAACUUGCCCCUCGUGCAGCUGAAUCACCUUCUCCUCUUGUUUCAACAACCUGGUUAAUCUUCCAGUAGAUCACAAUCUUCUUCGCCUUAUUCUUCGACAUGAUAGAUCGAAUUGUCGAAGUCAUAUGAGGUGUAACCAAAUUGUUAUCAAUGAGAUCCGGAGAAUUAUUU
rnacentral:lncRNA from 1 species